rnacentral:rRNA from 1 species
GACGUAGGGCGCGAGCGUUGUCCGGAUUUAUUGGGCGUAAAGAGCUCGUAGGCGGUCUGUCGCGUCUGCUGUGAAAACUCAGGGCUUAACCCUGAGCUUGCAGUGGGUACGGGCAGACUAGAGUGCGGUAGGGGAGACUGGAAUUCCUGGUGUAGCGGUGAAAUGCGCAGAUAGUCAGGAGGAACACCGGUGGCGAAGGCGGGUCUCUGGGCCGAAACUGACGCUGGAGGAGCGAAAGCCGUGGGGAGCGAACAGG